rnacentral:misc_RNA from 1 species
AACUUUCGGCAACGGAUCUCUUGGUUCUGGCAUCGAUGAAGAACGCAGCGAAAUGCGAUAAGUAAUGUGAAUCGCACAAUUCAGUGAAUCAUCGAAUCUUUGAACGCACAUUGCGCCCCUUGGCAUUCCGAGGGGCAUGCCUGUUCGAGCGUCAUUUCAACCCUCAAGCUCGGCUUGGCGUUGGGCACCACCAGCCAGGUGUGCCUCAAAACCAGUGGCGGUGCCGUCUGGCUCUAAGCGUAGUAGUGACCCUCUCGCUAUAGGGACCUGGCGGAUGCCUGCUAUAAACCCCCCAUGUUUCUAUCAAAGGUUGACCUCGGAUCAGGUAGGGAUACCCGCUGAACUUAAGCAUAUCAAUAAGCGGAGGCU